rnacentral:rRNA from 1 species
CUUCUCUGAUGUUAGCGGCGGACGGGUGGGUAACACGUGGGUAACCUACCUAUAAGACUGGGAUAACUCCGGGAAACCGGGGGCUAAUACCGGAUAAUAUUUUGAACCGCAUGGUUCAAUAGUGAAAGACGGUUUCGGCUGUCACUUAUAGAUGGACCCGCGCCGUAUUAGCUAGUUGGUAAGGUAACGGCUUACCAAGGCGACGAUACGUAGCCGACCUGAGAGGGUGAUCGGCCACACUGGAACUGAGACACGGUCCAGACUCCUACGGGAGGCAGCAGUC